AUCUCUGCAAUAUUUAUAUUAAUAAAAAAAAUUAUGGCAUGCCAAUAAUUAGACAGUUCUUUACAUUCUUCUUCCAUUUUCUUACUUUUUUGUGUAUCUUGAAAUGCUUGCUUAUUGUAAGAAAUCCAUAAGUUAAUGAGAAGGUUUCAUGGAGAGCUAUGAAUUAUGGAAUCAAAAUUUUGUAUUUAUUAUAGUUCACAGAAUCCUCCUUUUGAAAAGUAAUUAAGCAAUACAUGCAAGUUGCAAGCAUCUGAGGGCACUCUGGUGUUCAUUUUCCUGAUAUCUAUUUGGUAUUUAUUUAGCAUGCCUGCUGUCCAUUAGACAGCUCAUUGUGUGGCACAUUGCAGUUUUAUUUGGCGUUCAAGGAAUUUCUUUCACAUAUACAUUAGA
rnacentral:misc_RNA from 1 species